ACGAUAACGGCGUCGAGCGGCGGACGGGUGAGUAAUGCCUAGGAAAUUGCCCUGAUGUGGGGGAUAACCAUUGGAAACGAUGGCUAAUACCGCAUGAUGCCUACGGGCCAAAGAGGGGGACCUUCGGGCCUCUCGCGUCAGGAUAUGCCUAGGUGGGAUUAGCUAGUUGGUGAGGUAAGGGCUCACCAAGGCGACGAUCCCUAGCUGGUCUGAGAGGAUGAUCAGCCACACUGGAACUGAGACACGGUCCAGACUCCUACGGGAGGCAGCAGUGGGGAAUAUUGCACAAUGGGCGCAAGCCUGAUGCAGCCAUGCCGCGUGU
rnacentral:rRNA from 2 species